AACGAACGCUGGCGGCAUGCCUAACACAUGCAAGUCGAACGAGACCUUCGGGUCUAGUGGCGCACGGGUGCGUAACGCGUGGGAAUCUGCCCUUUGCUUCGGAAUAACAGUUAGAAAUGACUGCUAAUACCGGAUGAUGUCUUCGGACCAAAGAUUUAUCGGCAAAGGAUGAGCCCGCGUAGGAUUAGGUAGUUGGUGGGGUAAAGGCCUACCAAGCCGACGAUCCUUAGCUGGUCUGAGAGGAUGAUCAGCCACACUGGGACUGAGACACGGCCCAGACUCCUACGGGAGGCAGCAGUGGGGAAUAUUGGACAAUGGGCGAAAGCCUGAUCCAGCAAUGCCGCGUGAGUGAUGAAGGCCUUCGGGUCGUAAAGACUCUUUUACCAGGGAGUGAUAAUGACAGUACCUGGAGAAUAAGACUCCGGCUAACUACCGUGCCACGCAGCCGCGGUAAAGUGACUACUG
rnacentral:rRNA from 1 species